AUUGAACGCUGGCGGCAUGCCUUACACAUGCAAGUCGAACGGUAACGGGCCUUCGGGUGCCGACGAGUGGCGAACGGGUGAGUAAUACAUCGGAACGUGCCCGAUCGUGGGGGAUAACGGGGCGAAAGCUUUGCUAAUACCGCAUACGAUCUACGGAUGAAAGCCGGGGACCGCAAGGCCUUGCGCGGACGGAGCGGCCGAUGGCAGAUUAGGUAGUUGGUGGGAUAAAAGCUUACCAAGCCGACGAUCUGUAGCUGGUCUGAGAGGAUGAUCAGCCACACUGGGACUGAGACACGGCCCAGACUCCUACGGGAGGCAGCAGUGGGGAAUUUUGGACAAUGGGCGCAAGCCUGAUCCAGCCAUGCCGCGUGCAGGAUGAAGGCCUUCGGGUUGUAAACUGCUUUUGUACGGAACGAAAAGCCUUCUUUUAAUACAGGAGGGUCAUGACGGUACCGUAAGAAUAAGCACCGGCUAACUACGUG
rnacentral:rRNA from 1 species